CGUCGCUGCCGGACGGCCGCGUCGCGGUUCGCCGCGCCGAGGAAAGUCCGGGCUCCGCAGGGUAUGGUGGCUGGCAAAUCCAGCCGUCUCGCGUGGCGGCGGGAUAGGGACAGUGCAACAGAAAACAAACCGCCUCGGUGGCUUCGGUCACCGAGGUAAGGGCGAAACGGUGGGGUAAGAGCCCACCGCGGACGUCGCAAGACGGACGGCACGGCAAACCCCACCAGGAGCAAGCCUAGAACGUGGAAAGGCGCGACCCGCGCCAUUCGAUCCACAGGUCAGGCGCACGAUCCCUUCCGGCAACGGCGGGGACGAGAGAAAUGGCCGUCCAGGCCGUCCGUCACCAUGCGGCCGGUUGGACAGGACCCGGCUUAUAGGCAGCCCCCGCAC
rnacentral:RNase_P_RNA from 1 species